rnacentral:rRNA from 1 species
GAUGAACGCUGGCGGCGUGCCUAAUACAUGCAAGUCGAGCGAACAGAUGAGAAGCUUGCUUCUCUGAUGUUAGCGGCGGACGGGUGAGUAACACGUGGGUAACCUACCUAUAAGACUGGGAUAACUCCGGGAAACCGGGGCUAAUACCGGAUAAUAUUUUGAACCGCAUGGUUCAAUAGUGAAAGACGGUUCAGGCUGUCACUUAUAGAUGGACCCGCGCCGAAUUAGCUAGUUGGUAAGGUAACGGCUUACCAAGGCGACGAUACGUAGCCGGCCUUAGAGGGUGGUCGGCCACACUGGAACUGAGACACGGUCCAGGCGCCUACGGGAGGCAGCGGUAGGGAAUCUUCCGCAAUGGGCGAAAGCCUGACGGAGCAACGCCGCGUGAGUGAUGAAGGUCUUCGGAUCGUAAACCUCUGUUGUUAGGGAAGAACAAAUGUGUUAGUAACUGAACAAGUCUUGGCGGUACCUAACCAGAAAGCCACGGCUAACUACGUGCCAGCCGCCGCUGUAA